rnacentral:rRNA from 1 species
AGAGUUUGAUCCUGGCUUAGAACUAACGCUGGCAGUGCGUCUUAAGCAUGCAAGUCAAACGGGAUGUAGCAAUACAUCUAGUGGCGAACGGGUGAGUAACGCGUGGAUGAUCUACCUACGAGAUGGGGAUAACUAUUAGAAAUAGUAGCUAAUACCGAAUAAAGUCAAUUAAUUUGUUAAUGGAUGAAAGGAAGCCUUUAAAGCUUCGCUUGUAGAUGAGUCUGCGUCUUAUUAGCUAGUUGGUAGGGUAAAUGCCUACCAAGGCGAUGAUAAGUAACCGGCCUGAGAGGGUGAACGGUCACACUGGAACUGAGAUACGGUCCAGACUCCUACGGGAGGCAGCAGCUAAGAAUCUUCCGCAAUGGGCGAAAGCCUGACGGAGCGACUCUGCGUGAAUGAAGAAGGUCGAAAGAUUGUAAAAUUCUUUUAUAAAUGAGGAAUAAGCUUUGUAGGAAAUGACAAAGUGAUGACGUUAAUUUAUGAAUAAGCCCCGGCUAAUUACGUGCCAGCAGCCGCGGUAAU